GCUGGCGCGAGCCACCCAGCGAACUGAAACAUCUUAGUAGCUGGAGGAAAGGAAAGUAAAAACGACUCCCUAAGUAGCGGCGAGCGAACGGGGAAGAGCCUAAACCAAUGGUUUCGACCAUUGGGGUUGUGGGACAGCAACGUGGAUCAGGAAUGUUAGUGGAAGUGUUUGAAAGACACGCCACAGAGGGUGAAAGCCCCGUACACGAAAACUGAACUGACCUAGCUGUAUCCCGAGUAGCACGGAGCACGUGAAAUUCCGUGUGAAUCAGCGAGGACCACCUCGUAAGGCUAAGUACUCCUGUGUGACCGAUAGCGAAACAGUACCGCGAGGGAAAGGUGAAAAGAACCCCGGGAGGGGAGUGAAAUAGAACAUGAAACCGUGAGCCUACAAGCAAUGGGAGCCCUACUCAUAGGGUGACCGUGUGCCUGUUGAAGAAUGAGCCGGCGACUUAUAGGCACUGGCGGGUUAAACCGGAAAUGGUGGAGCCAUAGCGAAAGCGAGUCUGAAUAGGGCGUUUGUCAGUGUUUAUAGACCCGAACCCGGGUGAUCUAACCAUGGCCAGGAUGAAGCUUGGGUGAUACCAAGUGGAGGUCCGAACCGACUGAUGUUGAAAAAUCAGCGGAUGAGCUGUGGUUAGGGGUGAAAUGCCAAUCGAACCCGGAGCUAGCUGGUUCUCCCCGAAAUACGUUGAGGCGUAGCGUCUCGUGCUCCAGCAGGGGGGUAAAGCCACCAUUUCGGUGCGGGCUGCGAGAGCGGUACCAAAUCGAGAUGAACUCUGAAUACCCUGUGUGUAGCGAGGCAGU
rnacentral:rRNA from 1 species